AAGAUUGUAUAUACGAUAUAUUAUUCUCUUUGAAAUGUUACGAUUUUUCAGGAGAGAAAAAUAUCGCUGCGAAUCGCAAACAUGACGAAUACAUAUGAGAAUAAGCCGUUUUAUUACUCUCUGAGCAACGACAGGCAGGAAGAUGAGAAACUGUUGGAACCGAUCAGAUACUAUCUUCAAAUUCCUGGAAAACAGAUAACUGUGAAAUUAGCCCACGCUUUUAAUUAUUGGC